rnacentral:rRNA from 1 species
CGUGGAGGAUGAAGGUCUUCGGAUUGUAAACUCCUGUCAUUUGAGAACAAGUGACGUUUAGUAACUAUGGACGUCUUGAUAGUAUCAGAAGAGGAAGAGGCGGCUAACUCUGUGCCAGCAGCCGCGGUAAUACAGAGGCCUCAAGCGUUGUUCGGAUUCAUUGGGCGUAAAGGGUGCGUAGGCGGUCGGGUAAGUCGGGUGUGAAAUCCUGGGGCUCAACCUCAGAACUGCAUUCGAUACUGCUUGGCUAGAGGACUGGAGAGGAGAUUGGAAUUCACGGUGUAGCAGUGAAAUGCGUAGAUAUCGUGAGGAAGACCAGCGGCGAAGGCGGCUCUCUGGACAUAUCUGACGCUGAUGCUCGAAGGCCAGGGGAGCAAACGGGAUUAGAUACCCCGGUAGUCCUGGCAGUAAACGGUGCACGCUUGGUUUGAGAGGAUUCGACCCCUUCUGUGCCGGAGCUAACGCGUUAAGCGUGCCGCCUGGGGAGUACGAUCGCAAGAUUAAAACUCAAAGAAAUUGACGGGGGCCCGCACAAGCGGUGGAGUAUGUGGCUUAAUUCGAUGCAACGCGAAGAACCUUACCUGGCCUUGACAUGCAUCUCUAAGUUGGUGAAAGCCAGCGAGUGUAGCAAUACACGAAUUUGCACAGGUGCUGCAUGGCUGUCGUCAGCUCGUGUCGUGAGAUGUUGGGUUAAGUCCCGCAACGAGCGCAACCCCUGUGAACUGUUGCCACCGGCCGCAAGGCCGAGCACUCUGUUCAGACUGCCCUGUGAAACGGGGAGGAAGGUGGGGAUGACGUCAAGUCAGCAUGGCCCUUACGGCCAGGGCUGCACACGUACUACAAUGCCCGGUACAGAAGGAACCGAAACCGCGAGGUGGAGGAAAUCACUAAAACCGGGCUCAGUUCGGAUUGGAGGCUGCAACUCGCCUCCAUGAAGCUGGAAUCGCUAGUAAUGCCGUAUCAGCUACG